rfam:Chryseobacterium soli strain DSM 19298 Contig03, whole genome shotgun sequence.
GGAGCAGUAGCUCAGAUGGUAGAGCAACAAGAGUACUUUUCGCUGCUGGCACAUAAAGUUCCUAUGAAUUCCAGUUGUGGGUCGCAGGUUCGAGUCCUGCCUGCUCCU